GAUGAACGCUGGCGGCGUGCCUAAUACAUGCAAGUCGAGCGAACGGACGAGAAGCUUGCUUCUCUGAUGUUAGCGGCGGACGGGUGAGUAACACGUGGAUAACCUACCUAUAAGACUGGGAUAACUUCGGGAAACCGGAGCUAAUACCGGAUAAUAUUUUGAACCGCAUGGUUCAAAAGUGAAAGACGGCCUUGCUGUCACUUAUAGAUGGUUCCGCGCUGCAUUAGCUAGUUGGUAAGGUAACGGCUUACCAAGGCAACGAUGCAUAGCCGACCUGAGAGGGUGAUCGGCCACACUGGAACUGAGACACGGUCCAGACUCCUACGGGAGGCAGCAGUAGGGAAUCUUCCGCAAUGGGCGAAAGCCUGACGGAGCAACGCCGCGUGAGUGAUGAAGGUCUUCGGAUCGUAAAACUCUGUUAUUAGGGAAGAACAUAUGUGUAAGUAACUGUGCACAUCUUGACGGUACCUAAUCAGAAAGCCACGGCUAACUACGUG
rnacentral:rRNA from 1 species